UUUUAUCGGAAUAUAUUGGAUGUUAAUAGCUUAUUCGACUAUCCGAGUGAAAAAGAAGCAUGCUCAAAAGUUCAGAGUUAAGAAAAAAUUGUGACUUUUGUCUGUAUUUUUGGUGAAGAAGUUGAAGAAGAAAACGUGGAACCUUUAGAAGUAGUGAUACGUAAGAAAGCAAUUACUGCGUCUAAAAUUCUUCAUAACUUUUUGAUGUAGAUCGAGAAGACAAUACCAAGAGUUUUUGAUGUAAUAAGGAAAACUAGAGAUGAAGUUCAACGAGAUUCAAACUUUAAGAAAAGACAAACAACAUUAGAUUCAUAUUAUACUAGAUUAUCUUAGAACGUAUGCUUAAGAUUUAUGAUUAUUAAUUUAUGAUAUUAUUGAGAUAAUAUUUUUAUAGGAAUAUCAAAAAAAUAUUAUCUUAUUAUU
rnacentral:sRNA from 1 species